UACGUAGGGUGCAAGCGUUAAUCGGAAUUACUGGGCGUAAAGCGCACGUAGGCGGCUUUCUAAGUCGGGGGUGAAAUCCUGGAGCUCAACUCCAGAACUGCCUUCGAUACUGGAGAGCUCGAGUCCGGGAGAGGUGAGUGGAACUGCGAGUGUAGAGGUGAAAUUCGUAGAUAUUCGCAAGAACACCAGUGGCGAAGGCGGCUCACUGGCCCGGUACUGACGCUGAGGUGCGGAAGCGUGGGGAGCAAACAGG
rnacentral:rRNA from 1 species